UUUUCUGCAUGGUGGCUGGAAACAAGAAGUUAUUUUUGAAGAAAGGAGACGGGUGGCUUUUACCAAAGGUCAUUGAAGUGAAGACAGAGCUUAACGAACUGGGGUCUAGUUAG
ensembl:ncRNA C52G5.8 ncRNA